ensembl:lncRNA
GUGUUAAACUCUCAGUGGAGGAGACUGAACCAGCAGGGACCCAAAGCUCAGUGCAUCCUUCUUCUCCACACAGCCAUGAAAGACAUCAUCUGUUAUAACAGAGAAAAAUCAUAUCUCCCAAGUCCAGUAGGAUACAAUGGACUACUUGCACAAACUCUUCUGCAUAUAUCACCACCAUCAUCACCACCACCAAUAUCACCAUCAUCACCACCACUAUCAUCACCACCACCAUCACCACCACCAUCAUCACCACCACUAUCAUCACCACCACCACCAUCACCACACCAUCACCACCGCUACCAUCACCACCAUCACCAUAACCACCAUAACCACCACCACCACCACUAUCAUCACCAUCACCACCCCCAUCACCAUCACCACGAUCAUCACCACCACACCAUCACCACCACUACCAUCACCACCACCACUACCAUCACCACCACUGUCACCCCCCUACCAUCAAUACCACCAUCAUCAACACCAUCAUCAUCACCACCAUAACCACCAUCACCACCACCAUCAUCACCACCAUCACCAUCACCACCAACAUCACCAUCAUCAUCACCACCAUCAUCAUCACCACAACCAUCAUCACCAACACCCCACCACCACCAUCAUCACCACCA